AUUGAACGCUGGCGGCAGGCCUAACACAUGCAAGUCGAACGGCAGCACAGAAGAGCUUGCUCUUUGGGUGGCGAGUGGCGGACGGGUGAGUAAUGUCUGGGAAACUGCCCGAUGGAGGGGGAUAACUACUGGAAACGGUAGCUAAUACCGCAUAACGUCGCGAGACCAAAGUGGGGGACCUUCGGGCCUCACACCACCGGAUGUGCCCAGAUGGGAUUAGCUAGUAGGUGGGGUAAUGGCUCACCUAGGCGACGAUCCCUAGCUGGUCUGAGAGGAUGACCAGCCACACUGGAACUGAGACACGGUCCAGACUCCUACGGGAGGCAGCAGUGGGGAAUAUUGCACAAUGGGCGCAAGCCUGAUGCAGCCAUGCCGCGUGUAUGAAGAAGGCCUUCGGGUUGUAAAGUACUUUCAGCGGGGAGGAAGGCGGUGAGGUUAAUAACCUUGCCGAUUGACGUUACCCGCAGAAGAAGCACCGGCUAACUCCGUGCCUGCCGCCGCCGUAACAC
rnacentral:rRNA from 1 species